GAUAGGCGGGGUGUACAAUCUGGCUCUGCAUUAUUGGAACCACAAAAGGGUAUCUCUAUUAUCCAGAGCCAUCAAGGAACCAAGCUUGGAGCCUAAAAAUGUGCAGGUUGGGGUGAAGUGUUCAACCAGCAUCCUGGAUGAGUAAGCAAGAACUGAUCUGAAGCCUACACAAAGGGCAAGAGACUUUGGAUGUGUAAUCUGGCAUUCUGCCCUACAAAGACGCAAGCUGACAUGUGUCCCAGCACUUGAAGAAAGUUUCUUAUUGUUACUUGAGGACUGCCCUGAAUCUUUGAGAAAUCUUAUGAAUUCAUCAAUCCCCAUCUACGCAGAGAAUCUGGGGAUUUUUGUUCAUUAUAAACAAGAAACGUGGUCUACAAAGGCUCUGAUAAAUGACCCUUCUGCUUGCUCCCUUGGUAACUUUAUCUGAAAGUAUGUGAUCCGUACAGAGGAUUCCAACCUACAAUUACUCCAUCAGCAGACUCCCACCAACGUUGAUGAGAGCUUCUCAUGAGGGACACAGCAAUAGAAAAACCUAGACUUUGGAAUCCAAAAGUCACCACUAGCCCACAGAUAUGUACAAAAAGAUAUCUACAAGAAAUGAGUGAACAUGUAUGGUUACCACAGUUACUUCCUGCUGAGGUCUCACAUACUACCGUAAAGGACCUUUAGGCAAAUGCUAACUUUUGAUUGGUGACCAGUUUAAAUGAGGGCUUUGGGUUUACUUUUUUUAAAAUGUUGUACUGGACCAUUGACAUGUGCACCUUUAAUAAAUGAGAAAGAGGCCUGAGAUAAAGAUGGACUAAACAACUUCUUCAUGAGGUUUCCUGAUUUC